rnacentral:rRNA from 1 species
AGCGUACACGGUGGAUGCCCUGGCAGUCAGAGGCGAUGAAGGACGUGCUAAUCUGCGAUAAGCGUCGGUAAGGUGAUAUGAACCGUUAUAACCGGCGAUUUCCGAAUGGGGAAACCCAGUGUGUUUCGACACACUAUCAUUAACUGAAUCCAUAGGUUAAUGAGGCGAACCGGGGGAACUGAAACAUCUAAGUACCCCGAGGAAAAGAAAUCAACCGAGAUUCCCCCAGUAGCGGCGAGCGAACGGGGAGCAGCCCAGAGCCUGAAUCAGUGUGUGUGUUAGUGGAAGCGUCUGGAAAGGCGCGCGAUACAGGGUGACAGCCCCGUACACAAAAAUGCACAUGCUGUGAGCUCGAUGAGUAGGGCGGGACACGUGGUAUCCUGUCUGAAUAUGGGGGGACCAUCCUCCAAGGCUAAAUACUCCUGACUGACCGAUAGUGAACCAGUACCGUGAGGGAAAGGCGAAAAGAACCCCGGCGAGGGGAGUGAAAAAGAACCUGAAACCGUGUACGUACAAGCAGUGGGAGCACGCUUCGGCGUGUGACUGCGUACCUUUUGUAUAAUGGGUCAGCGACUUAUAUUCUGUAGCAAGGUUAACCGAAUAGGGGAGCCGAAGGGAAACCGAGUCUUAACUGGGCGUUAAGUUGCAGGGUAUAGACCCGAAACCCGGUGAUCUAGCCAUGGGCAGGUUGAAGGUUGGGUAACACUAACUGGAGGACCGAACCGACUAAUGUUGAAAAAUUAGCGGAUGACUUGUGGCUGGGGGUGAAAGGCCAAUCAAACCGGGAGAUAGCUGGUUCUCCCCGAAAGCUAUUUAGGUAGCGCCUCGUGAAUUCAUCUCCGGGGGUAGAGCACUGUUUCGGCAAGGGGGUCAUCCCGACUUACCAACCCGAUGCAAACUGCGAAUACCGGAGAAUGUUAUCACGGGAGACACACGGCGGGUGCUAACGUCCGUCGUGAAGAGGGAAACAACCCAGACCGCCAGCUAAGGUCCCAAAGUCAUGGUUAAGUGGGAAACGAUGUGGGAAGGCCCAGACAGCCAGGAUGUUGGCUUAGAAGCAGCCAUCAUUUAAAGAAAGCGUAAUAGCUCACUGGUCGAGUCGGCCUGCGCGGAAGAUGUAACGGGGCUAAACCAUGCACCGAAGCUGCGGCAGCGACGCUUAUGCGUUGUUGGGUAGGGGAGCGUUCUGUAAGCCUGUGAAGGUGUGCUGUGAGGCAUGCUGGAGGUAUCAGAAGUGCGAAUGCUGACAUAAGUAACGAUAAAGCGGGUGAAAAGCCCGCUCGCCGGAAGACCAAGGGUUCCUGUCCAACGUUAAUCGGGGCAGGGUGAGUCGACCCCUAAGGCGAGGCCGAAAGGCGUAGUCGAUGGGAAACAGGUUAAUAUUCCUGUACUUGGUGUUACUGCGAAGGGGGGACGGAGAAGGCUAUGUUGGCCGGGCGACGGUUGUCCCGGUUUAAGCGUGUAGGCUGGUUUUCCAGGCAAAUCCGGAAAAUCAAGGCUGAGGCGUGAUGACGAGGCACUACGGUGCUGAAGCAACAAAUGCCCUGCUUCCAGGAAAAGCCUCUAAGCAUCAGGUAACAUCAAAUCGUACCCCAAACCGACACAGGUGGUCAGGUAGAGAAUACCAAGGCGCUUGAGAGAACUCGGGUGAAGGAACUAGGCAAAAUGGUGCCGUAACUUCGGGAGAAGGCACGCUGAUAUGUAGGUGAAGUCCCUCGCGGAUGGAGCUGAAAUCAGUCGAAGAUACCAGCUGGCUGCAACUGUUUAUUAAAAACACAGCACUGUGCAAACACGAAAGUGGACGUAUACGGUGUGACGCCUGCCCGGUGCCGGAAGGUUAAUUGAUGGGGUCAGCGCAAGCGAAGCUCUUGAUCGAAGCCCCGGUAAACGGCGGCCGUAACUAUAACGGUCCUAAGGUAGCGAAAUUCCUUGUCGGGUAAGUUCCGACCUGCACGAAUGGCGUAAUGAUGGCCAGGCUGUCUCCACCCGAGACUCAGUGAAAUUGAACUCGCUGUGAAGAUGCAGUGUACCCGCGGCAAGACGGAAAGACCCCGUGAACCUUUACUAUAGCUUGACACUGAACAUUGAGCCUUGAUGUGUAGGAUAGGUGGGAGGCUUGGAAGUGUGGACGCCAGUCUGCAUGGAGCCGACCUUGAAAUACCACCCUUUAAUGUUUGAUGUUCUAACGUUGACCCGUAAUCCGGGUUGCGGACAGUGUCUGGUGGGUAGUUUGACUGGGGCGGUCUCCUCCUAAAGAGUAACGGAGGAGCACGAAGGUUGGCUAAUCCUGGUCGGACAUCAGGAGGUUAGUGCAAUGGCAUAAGCCAGCUUGACUGCGAGCGUGACGGCGCGAGCAGGUGCGAAAGCAGGUCAUAGUGAUCCGGUGGUUCUGAAUGGAAGGGCCAUCGCUCAACGGAUAAAAGGUACUCCGGGGAUAACAGGCUGAUACCGCCCAAGAGUUCAUAUCGACGGCGGUGUUUGGCACCUCGAUGUCGGCUCAUCACAUCCUGGGGCUGAAGUAGGUCCCAAGGGUAUGGCUGUUCGCCAUUUAAAGUGGUACGCGAGCUGGGUUUAGAACGUCGUGAGACAGUUCGGUCCCUAUCUGCCGUGGGCGCUGGAGAACUGAGGGGGGCUGCUCCUAGUACGAGAGGACCGGAGUGGACGCAUCACUGGUGUUCGGGUUGUCAUGCCAAUGGCACUGCCCGGUAGCUAAAUGCGGAAGAGAUAAGUGCUGAAAGCAUCUAAGCACGAAACUUGCCCCGAGAUGAGUUCUCCCUGACUCCUUGA